rnacentral:lncRNA from 1 species
UGAGUCUCAGGAGAUCUGAUGGUUUUAAAAACAGGAGUUUCCCUGCACAAGCUCUCUUUGCCUGCCACCAUCCAUGUAAGACAUGACUUUCUCCUCCUUGCCUUUCACCUUCUGCCAUGAUCGUGAAGUCUCCCCAGCCAUGUGGAACUGUAAAGAAAGCAGGAAACUGUGACUAAAUGAAGAUCACAGAGCCAGUUGAUCAGUGGGGAAGCUGCAUCUGAAAUCCAGGACUUCUAGAUCCUGGGUCAACUGGUAAUCACAAGCGUACAGAUAACAGGCAGGCAGGAAUGUGAAAAUCAGAGAGAAGAGAGAUGUGCACCAGAAGCUGGAGUAAUGUGCUUUGAAGAUGGAGGAAGGGACCAUAAAUCAAGGAAUGCAGACAGCCUGUAGAAGCUGGGAAAGGCAAGGAUGUGGAUUCACUCGAGUCUCUAGAAGAAACGCAACCCCGCCAACACCUUGAUUUGAGGACGUCUGACCUUCAGAAUGAGAAAAUGAUACAUUUGUGUUGUAAGCCACCCAGUUUGUGAAAUAUGUAUCAACAAUUGAAAACUAGUACAUAGUCAAAUACUCAAUCUCUGUUUUUUUUAGCUUAUCAUUUUCAAUCUCUGUCUCCAACCCACAAACCACAUGCAUCAUAAAUAAAUUAAAAUACCAAAACUUUUCUUCUAGAAUUUUUUUGGGAAUACAAAUUCAUAUCAUUGAACUAAAUAUUUUAGAACCCAUAAAAAAGGUCAGAUUUAAUCUUUAAAAAAA